CCAUCGUCGCUGUUCCUAGCGGCCAGGAACAGCGACGGAGAAUCGACACAACGUUCCUCAGCAAGGAUGAUCGCGAUCGGCUCCAACGAAAGGCGGACGAAAAAACUGCGGAUUUAUCGUCUCUCUCGGCCACCGAGCGGAAGCUGCGGACGCUCGCAACGACGCGCUACGACACGGGCCCGUCGACAGCGGCCGCGACGUACACGGUCGUCGACAUCGAUAUUGUCAACGAACUGCUUCGCAAGACUGUGUGCCAGAAGUGCGUAGGUAAUAGUGUUUCGAUCUCCAGAGGUGCAAGUGAUUACGGAAUUACGGUGCAACUGAGCCUGGAAUGCGACUUUUGCGGCUGUUUGGAAACGAAAUGGAGCUCGAGGCGCGUGUCGGGAACGGCAAAAUCUAACCCGUUUGAGAUAAACAUUCUCGCGGCCCGUGCCGUUCAAAGUACCGGGAACGGGCAAACAGCGCUGAAUGACUUAUUUUCAGCUAAGGGGAUAUCCCACAGAGGCCUGCACCACAAGACAUACCAAGGACACUUGAAGGGAAGACUGAACCCAGCUGCAAUGGAUGCUUGUGCAAAGGUGCUUUCCAACUCUGCUUCAGCAGUAAAGGAACUUUACAAAGUGCUGAAUUUCGGAAAUAUUGGAAACAUUGCAGUUUGUUUUGAUGGCACUUGGAUGACUAGGGGGCACCUGUCCCAUAUUGGCGUAGGUGCAGUA
rnacentral:lncRNA from 1 species